CUGGUACAACAGCAGUUCACAUCUCUCUGAAGGAUACUUCAAAGAGCUUCUUGAUGUAAAUUGCUGUGUCCAAGAAGGCUGGAAAGCAAUACCUUGUGAGACUCAGUGAUAAAAACCCGAGUUGGCCAUCGCACAUGAUGCAGAGCAUUGCACAUGGUCAGUGUGGAAAGAGCAACAGACACUUCAGGUGCACACCCUCAUGUCAAUGCUGAGGGGUAUGCAUGCUGGCUACAGCUGGAAGUGCUUCAAAGCUCCUGAAUUCAUUGAUGUAAGAGUUAAAGAACAAUUUGGUAUAAAUAGGAAGUUGAUUGCUGUGGACUCACCAGCUGCAGUCAGUGGAGUGUAAAAGGUCUUUAAUGAUGCAAACAACUUUUGGGCAAAGUACAAAAGAAGAUAAUUAAGCAGUUAGGUCAGGAGGCAUGGCAAGGAUACCUUUGUAAGAGUUCCCUUCAGGGGCUGGUUUGGAAGCUGCUUGCUCUAGGCACAAGCACAGACAACCUGAAGUCCAGCCCUUUUAAAUACCCAUUAUAAAGCCAAAAUCAAAACCAAAAUUGGGAAUAAAUAGGUUAUUAGCACCAGGUUUUUUACAUCUUUUUGCUUAGGCUGUAAUUUAUUCAAGAUGCCAUGCUAAGAUCCUGAGAGAGUUUAAAUUCAGAUGUGGUGAAAAGCGCAGGUGAUGUGAGGUGUGCUCCAAGGAGUAGAGGGUUUCAAAGGGGACUUUGAGGUUACUGACCAGCCUGGACAGGGCUGGUCUUAAACAACAUUCAAAGUGAAACUGGAUGUCCUGACACAGCCAGAGGUAGGUCUCCUCAAGUGACACCUUGGCACAAAGCUUUGAUAUGCAGAAUUACAGCUUGUGAGACCACAUCUGCAGGGAUGAGUGGGCCUGACACAAAAUGAUGUCUCCAUUAUAGUGGUAUGGUAUUUUGUCAAAACAGCCCAAUAGUUUGACGAGUCUGAAAAGGGGAAUCAGCCAAGAGCUGGGGGUGACCUUGCAGGAAUGCCUGUGGAAGCCGCUUUAUCCCAGGUUUCUGUCUUUAGCCACAGCAGGACGUGUUCAGUACUUAUUUAGGUUUUAAACAGCAGGCAGGGACAGUCCAGAUUCUGAGCCCGUCCCAUGGGUGUGAGACAGAGGCUUGGUCUGAAGCUUUGGAGGUCAUAGUGUUCUCCUCUGCUUGUUGCUGAGUCAGGGGGGAAAUCUUUGCUGUCUGGCUGAACCCUGGCUGGUGGGACUGCAGGCAGGUUUCAUGCUAAGUGAGCCCCAGGCAAUACAGAUGCCUGUGUAUUUUAGUUUGUUUGUGGUUUUUUUUUAAGUAAACUGGCACAUUUGAUCGAGGGGGUGAACGCAGCAACAUCUGCCCCAGGCUGGAGACACCCUGCAAAAAAGCUUUGGAAAAUAUGACCAUCACUAACUCCAGAGGUGUUUCCAGUGCCCUGCUGGCUCACAGAAAGAAGUGUGCUUUGUCCCCUCCUCUUUGCCCGACAUCUCAGUUGGUGCCAUGAACAGACUGUGGACUUUGGGUACAUGUCACCAUCCAUCUGUGCCCUUGGUGAGGAAGAAAUGAAGUUAGCAAGCACUGUUUGCUGACACUGUGCGGCACAGACAGUGCAGUCGCAAAGGAUUAAUGUAAGCAGGUCACCUCUCCACCCUCCUCCUCCUCUCCCUGUCACUCUGCCACGAGUCACCAUCUUCUGCCUCCUUUGGUCCAUCCUUCCCAGCAGGUUUGUCAGCUCCCAAGUGGACACCCCACACACGCACAGGGGUCUCUAUAGGGUGAAGCUGUAUAUGUGGGGUGCACUCUCUAUAGGGUGAGCUGUGGGAUCUCAGGGGAGGAUGCAGUGUAGGGCCCCUCCAGAGCCCACUGCCUGCCCAGUCCAGGGACGGGGCAGGUGUUACUGAACAAUGCAGAAGUUAAUUGCCAUUUCAGGAUGCCCUCAGGAGGACACAACUCUUGGCCAGAGCAUCUGGUAGUCCCCCCCAUGUAGGGCGGUGGGGUAUUGGUGCUGCUAGGCCAGGCAUUCCCAAUCCCUGCACUGUCCCUGCCCACCUGCUGCCAGCUCCAGGGCAGGAUUGUAAUGCCGGAGUCACUGUGGUCUGUGGAGUUGUUUGAUGAGCAAUAAUAGGAAAUACGUGGCUUUAUAAUAUAUGUGAGGAUGGUGGGUAUUUCUGGCUUCUGCAGGCUCUGCAGUCCUUGCUCAGUCAUGCACCACCUACCAUGAUGCAGGCGUGCAGCUUUACCCCUGAAUAAUUUGAAGCCAAGUUUCUGAUGUUUUUAAUGUAAAACUAAUUGAUCAUUCAGGGCACAGCAUUCAGCUGAUGCGUGAGUGUCCCCUGGUUUUGAAAGCACCCCAACCCACACCUUUGUUUUACAAAGGUAAGACUUUAAAAUGAAACCCACAUAUUUCCAGUUUAAUUAGGACAGGAAGUUGGAAGUAGGUUAUGUGAGUGACAUGUUCAUUUAAUUUGCAUAGAACCAGAAACUGUGUCCCAUGAGUGUCACCAGACCUCUAUGUGUGAUGAAGACCAUUCCCUUGGUUUCCUCAUCAAUUAUAGCAGUUCAGGCUACUGAAUUUCUUU